rnacentral:rRNA from 1 species
CAGCCGCCGCGGUAAUACGGAGGAUCCAAGCGUUAUCCGGAUUUAUUGGGUUUAAAGGGUGCGUAGGUGGCCUGUUAAGUCAGGGGUGAAAGACGGUAGCUUAACUAUCGCAGUGCCCUUGAUACUGAUGGGCUUGAAUGAACUAGAGGUAGGCGGAAUGUGACAAGUAGCGGUGAAAUGCAUAGAUAUGUCACAGAACACCAAUUGCGAAGGCAGCUUACUAUGGUUUUAUUGACACUGAGGCGCGAAAGCGUGGGGAUCAAACAGGAUUAGAUACCCCAGUAGUCCCUGUCUCUUAUAC